CAAAGAAUGAAAUGUUGCCAUGUUUUUAUUGAACACACCAUGUAAACAUUCACAGUGCAGGUGGAAAAAGUAUGUGAACCCUUGGAUUUAACAACUGGUUGAACCUCCUUUGGCAGCAAUAACUUCAACCAAACGUUUCCUGUAGUUGCAGAUCAGACGUGCACAACGGUCAGGAGUAAUUCUUGACCAUUCCUCUUUACAGAACUGUUUCAGUUCAGCAAUAUUCUUGGGAUGUCUGGUGUGAAUCGCUUUCUUGAGGUCAUGCCACAGCAUCUCAAUCGGGUUGAAGUCAGG
rnacentral:lncRNA from 1 species